CAGUAGCCGCGGGAAUACGGAGGAUCCAAGCGUUAUCCGGAAUCAUUGGGUUUAAAGGGUCCGUAGGCGGUCUUGUAAGUCAGUGGUGAAAGCCCAUCGCUCAACGGUGGAACGGCCAUUGAUACUGCAGGACUUGAAUUAUUGGGAAGUAACUAGAAUAUGUAGUGUAGCGGUGAAAUGCUUAGAGAUUACAUGGAAUACCAAUUGCGAAGGCAGGUUACUACCAAUUGAUUGACGCUGAUGGACGAAAGCGUGGGUAGCGAACAGGAUUAGAUACCCGUGUAGUCCCUGUCUCUUAUAU
rnacentral:rRNA from 1 species